ACAGCAAAUUUCCUCCAUCCAACGAUCAAUCUUGCCUUUUUUUUAAGUCUGUAGUACAUGAAAAAAGUGACCUUAAUGCAUCUGUGGUUUUAAUGUAUAAGCUCAAUAUAAAUGUAGAAAUAGUGCACCCGACCUACUACCAUCACCCCAUUAUUUAAGGCUUGAAAAUGACUCAAUCAUCUCUUAUUUGUAGACCUCUUUUUCCAUCUCUACUCUUACCUUUGAACGGCUAGUUAGCAGUUCAAAACUAUGAAAAAAGCCCAGUAAGUAAUAAUCAGUGGACUCAGGGAAAUUGGCAUCUAGAGAGAUGGAGAUGGGACAUGAUGUUUUGGGAUUAGGAGGCAUCUGGAGCAACAACACAAGUAGUGUUUCAAGUUACUGUGAGAAAAUCUAGAGUGCCCAACUAGGCAUACCUGGCUGGGGCAGACGGCCACAACGAACAUGUAGAAUCUGGGGGUCAAACACAUCUAGAAGCAUGGGUGUUCCACUGGACCCAGAGUCGUGGGUGCCUUCACAGAUCCACCCUGGGCCAUCCAUAUGACUGAACUUUCGUGCUUCAUCCUUCUCCUGUGGAAUCGUGGAAGGAGCUAAACACCGAGAACCAGGACUCUCUCUCUCCAGCCACCAGAUGUCAUACUAGCUAGUGAGAUCUCAGGUGCUGGUGACGUGAUUUUUGGCCUGGAAAGUUGUGCCUUUGUGAGGUGACGUUCUAUUUUCAGAUUAGUUGGUGACCAACACAGAAAGCUUGAGGCCUACUAGAGAUGCUGUUGAUGGAGGGAUGUUGUUAGUGGUGUCACCGACACACCAUAUAUGAUAGUAAACUGAAUUAGUUACUUAUAAAUAAAUAAUAAAUAUUUCAGUGCUGAGAAAUUUACUCACGAUCCUGCACUCGUGUUGUAAGCUCUACCUUCUAUAACAAGUAUUAUUUUAGCACUG
rnacentral:lncRNA from 1 species